rnacentral:rRNA from 1 species
AUUGAACGCUGGCGGAAUGCUUUACACAUGCAAGUCGAACGGCAGCACGGGGGCGGCCCUGGUGGCGAGUGGCGAACGGGUGAGUAAUACAUCGGAACGUGCCCGGUCGUGGGGGAUAACGUAGCGAAAGUUACGCUAAUACCGCAUACGAUCUGAGGAUGAAAGCGGGGGACCUUCGGGCCUCGCGCGAUCGGAGCGGCCGAUGUCAGAUUAGGUAGUUGGUGGGGUAAAGGCCUACCAAGCCGACGAUCUGUAGCUGGUCUGAGAGGACGACCAGCCACACUGGGACUGAGACACGGCCCAGACUCCUACGGGAGGCAGCAGUGGGGAAUUUUGGACAAUGGGCGCAAGCCUGAUCCAGCCAUGCCGCGUGCAGGACGAAGGCCUUCGGGUUGUAAACUGCUUUUGUACGGAACGAAAAGGCUCUGGCUAAUACCUGGGGCUCAUGACGGUACCGUAAGAAUAAGCACCGGCUAGCUACGUG